GACGAACGCUGGCGGCGUGCUUAACACAUGCAAGUCGAACGGAAAGGCCCUGCUUUUGUGGGGUGCUCGAGUGGCGAACGGGUGAGUAACACGUGAGUAACCUGCCCUUGACUUUGGGAUAACUUCAAGAAACUGGGGCUAAUACCGGAUAGGAGCUCCUGCUGCAUGGUGGGGGUUGGAAAGUUUCGGCGGUUGGGGAUGGACUCGCGGCUUAUCAGCUUGUUGGUGGGGUAGUGGCUUACCAAGGCUUUGACGGGUAGCCGGCCUGAAAGGGUGACCGGCCACAUUGGGACUGAGAUACGGCCCAGACUCCUACGGGAGGCAGCAGUGGGGAAUAUUGCACAAUGGGCGGAAGCCUGAUGCAGCAACGCCGCGUGCGGGAUGACGGCCUUCGGGUUGUAAACCGCUUUCGCCUGUGACGAAGCGUGAGUGACGGUAAUGGGUAAAGAAGCACCGGCUAACUACGUG
rnacentral:rRNA from 1 species